AUCUUAGUGCACGGGCUUUACGCAUGGCAGUGAGGAUCCGUCCGAGCCUGCGUUUUUGCUAGUUGAAAACUAUACUAUGACCACUUCAGCUUGGAUUCAUCCGGGUUGGGAAUUUUUGGCACCCCCAAUUUUGU
rnacentral:snRNA from 1 species